rnacentral:rRNA from 1 species
UACGUAGGGUGCAGGCGUUAAUCGGAAUUACUGGGCGUAAAGCGUGCGCAGGCGGUCUGCUAAGAGAGGUGUGAAAUCCCCGGGCUUAACCUGGGAACUGCGCUUCUAACUGGCAGGCUAGAGUGUGGCAGAGGGGGGGUGGAAUUCCACGUGUAGCAGUGAAAUGCGUAGAGUAUGUGGAGGAACACCGAUGGCGAAGGCAGCCCCCCUGGGCUAACACUGACGCUCAUGC